UGGGGGAUAUUGCACAAUGGGCGAAAGCCUGAUGCAGCAACGCCGCGUGAGGGAAGACGGUUUUCGGAUUGUAAACCUCUGUCUUUGGUGACGAAACAAAUGACGGUAGCCAAGGAGGAAGCCACGGCUAACUACGUGCCAGCAGCCGCGGUAAUACGAAGGUCCCAAGCGUUGUUCGGAAUCACUGGGCGUAAAGGGUGCGUAGGCGGUCUUGCAAGUCGGGCGUGAAAUCCCGGGGCUCAACCCCGGAACUGCGCUCGAUACUGCAAGGCUAGAGGACUGGAGAGGAGACUGGAAUUCUCGGUGUAGCAGUGAAAUGCGUAGAGAUCGAGAGGAACACUCGUGGCGAAGGCGAGUCUCUGGACAGUUCCUGACGCUGAGGCACGAAGGCCAGGGUAGCGAAAG
rnacentral:rRNA from 1 species